rnacentral:rRNA from 1 species
UACGUAUGGAGCAAGCGUUAUCCGGAUUUACUGGGUGUAAAGGGAGCGCAGGCGGUCUGGCAAGUCUGAUGUGAAAGGCCGGGGCUCAACCCCUUCCCGCCAUUGAAACUGGCGAUCUUGAGUGGAAGAGAAGUAUGCGGAAUGCGUGGUGUAGCGGUGAAAUGCAUAGAUAUCACGCAGAACCCCGAUCGCGAAGGCAGCAUGCCGGCUUCCGACUGACGCUGAAGCACGAAAGCGUGGGGAUCGAACAGG